GCAGCCGCGGUAAUACGGAGGAUGCGAGCGUUAUCCGGAUUUAUUGGGUUUAAAGGGUGCGUAGGCGGAUUUCUAAGUCAGCGGUCAAAUGUCGGGGCUCAACCCCGGCCUGCCGUUGAAACUGGAGGUCUUGAGUGGGCGAGAAGUAUGCGGAAUGCGUGGUGUAGCGGUGAAAUGCAUAGAUAUCACGCAGAACUCCGAUUGCGAAGGCAGCAUACCGGCGCCCGACUGACGCUGAGGCACGAAAGCGUGGGUAUCGAACAGGAUUAGAUACCCC
rnacentral:rRNA from 1 species